rnacentral:rRNA from 1 species
CCAGACUCCUACGGGAGGCAGCAGUGAGGAAUAUUGGUCAAUGGCCGCAGGGCUGAACCGGCCAAGUCGCGUGAGGGAUGACGGUCCUAUGGAUUGUAAACCUCUUUUGUCAGGGAGCAAAGGGCGCCACGUGUGGCGUUUUGCGAGUACCUGAAGAAAAAGCAUCGGCUAACUCCGUGCCAGCAGCCGCGGUAAUACGGAGGAUGCGAGCGUUAUCCGGAUUUAUUGGGUUUAAAGGGUGCGCAGGCGGUCUGUUAAGUCAGCGGUCAAAGCCCGGGGCUCAACCCCGGCCCACCGUUGAAACUGGCAGUCUCGAGUUGGAGAGAAGUAUGCGGAAUGCGCGGUGUAGCGGUGAAAUGCAUAGAUAUCGCGCAGAACUCCGAUUGCGAAGGCAGCAUGCCGGCUCCACACUGACGCUGAGGCACGAAAGCGUGGGUAUCGAACAGGAUUAGAUACCCUCGUA